UACGUAGGGUGCAAGCGUUAAUCGGAAUUACUGGGCGUAAAGCGUGCGCAGGCGGUGAUGUAAGUCAGAUGUGAAAUCCCCGGGCUCAACCUGGGAACUGCAUUUGAGACUGCAUCGCUGGAGUGCGGCAGAGGGGGAUGGAAUUCCGCGUGUAGCAGUGAAAUGCGUAGAUAUGCGGAGGAACACCGAUGGCGAAGGCAAUCCCCUGGGCCUGCACUGACGCUCAUGCACGAAAGCGUGGGGAGCAAACAGG
rnacentral:rRNA from 1 species